ACUAUACUGGAUGAUAUUAGUAAGUAUUUUCCUACUCCUGAAUUGGAUGUGGUUCCUGAGACUAUUAAAGAUCAUGAUGUAGUUCCACAAGAUAAUGCAAGUACUGAUGAAACCAAGAUACCAACUAAUACACAAUCUGCAUAUGAUAUGUCUCCUUCUAAUUCUAAUGCAGAAGUUUCUAGUAAUUCUUCUCAACCUUUAUCACCUCAAGCUGAAGUACAUAUACCUGUUCCAAAAGAUUUGCUUGCUAACUUUAGCUCCAUAAGGAUGUCUUAUGUGAGAAUGUUUUACAAUGUUUGCAAGAUUUUGGAACAGUAAUUGGAAGUUGCAGACAUCAAGAAGUUCCUUUUUUAUUACAGUAGCUCCCUCAGCAAGAAAGCCAACAAAUGUUCAGAUAUUUCUAGCAUCCUUCGUCAUGUUAAAAAUGAGUGUUCACUGACUAAUAUUGAACUACUACAUAGCAUAGUAGAGGAAAUGAAGAUCACUGAAGCAGAGGAACACAUCAAAACUUAUAGAACAAAGUUGACGGAAGUUUGCAAGUCACUCUCCAUCACCCUCUGUUUGAAGGAACGAUUUAAUUCCAUUCCUCAUCUUCAAUGUCAAACAGCUACUUUUAUCUUUGACUGGGAGCCAGAGGAACAUGUACUGAAGGAUAUUAAGGAUAUUUUAUCAAAAGUAUCUGGUAAACUACUGAUCAUCAAGUAUAUAGAAACCUCCACUUCAAUAUCUGUCACUUGCUUCUUUCCUUUCUCUGAUGUUGGGUUUACUGUAUUGAGGAUGAUAGAGAAUAUUCAUAUACUAAUGGGACAAGGA